rnacentral:rRNA from 1 species
GACGUAGGGGCCAGCGUUGUUCGGAAUUACUGGGUGUAAAGGGUUCGUAGGCGGUGCGGCAAGUUGGGAGUGAAAUCUCUGGGCUCAACCCAGAGACGGCUUCCAAAACUGCUGUGCUUGAGUGUGAGAGAGGCUCGUGGAAUUGCAGGUGUAGCGGUGAAAUGCGUAGAUAUCUGCAGGAACACCCGUGGCGAAAGCGGCGAGCUGGAUCACUACUGACGCUGAAGAACGAAAGCUAGGGGAGCAAACAGG